rnacentral:rRNA from 1 species
ACUUUCAACAACGGAUCUCUUGGUUCUGGCAUCGAUGAAAAACGCAGCGAAAUGCGAUAAGUAAUGUGAAUUGCAAAAUUCAGUGAAUCAUCGAAUCUUUGAACGCACAUUGCGCCCGCCAGUAUUCUGGCGGGCAUGCCUGUCCGAGCGUCAUU